GUGGGGAAUAUUGGACAAUGGGCGCAAGCCUGAUCCAGCCAUGCCGCGUGAGUGAUGAAGGCCCUAGGGUUGUAAAGCUCUUUCACCGGUGAAGAUAAUGACGGUAACCGGAGAAGAAGCCCCGGCUAACUUCGUGCCAGCAGCCGCGGUAAUACGAAGGGGGCUAGCGUUGUUCGGAAUUACUGGGCGUAAAGCGCACGUAGGCGGACAUUUAAGUCAGGGGUGAAAUCCCAGAGCUCAACUCUGGAACUGCCUUUGAUACUGGGUGUCUUGAGUAUGGAAGAGGUAAGUGGAAUUCCGAGUGUAGAGGUGAAAUUCGUAGAUAUUCGGAGGAACACCAGUGGCGAAGGCGGCUUACUGGUCCAUUACUGACGCUGAGGUGCGAAAGCGUGGGGAGCAAACAGGAUUAGAAACCCUAGUAGUCC
rnacentral:rRNA from 1 species